UGAUCCUGGCUCAGAAUCAACGCUGGCGGCGUGCCUAACACAUGCAAGUCCAACGGGAAAACAGGGGCAACUCUGUGAGUACAGUGGCGUACGGGUGAGUAACACGUGACUACCUACCCUCGAGUGGGGGAUAACCCCGGGAAACCGGGGCUAAUACCGCAUAACAUCGCAAGAUCAAAGGAGCAAUUCGCUUGAGGAGGGGGUCGCGGCUGAUUAGCUAGUUGGUGGGGUAACGGCCCACCAAGGCGAUGAUCGGUAGCCGGCCUGAGAGGGCGCACGGCCACACUGGAACUGAAACACGGUCCAGACUCCUACGGGAGGCAGCAGUGGGGAAUUUUGCGCAAUGGGGGAAACCCUGACGCAGCAACGCCGCGUGGAGGAUGAAGUCCCUUGGGACGUAAACUCCUUUCGACUCGGACGAUAAUGAGUGAACUGGUGGAAGCAAGGCCCCGGCUGCUUACUGCCCCAG
rnacentral:rRNA from 1 species